GACGAACGCUGGCGGCGUGCCUAAUACAUGCAAGUCGAACGAACUCUGGUAUUGAUUGGUGCUUGCAUCAUGAUUUACAUUUGAGUGAGUGGCGAACUGGUGAGUAACACGUGGGAAACCUGCCCAGAAGCGGGGGAUAACACCUGGAAACAGAUGCUAAUACCGCAUAACAACUUGGACCGCAUGGUCCGAGCUUGAAAGAUGGCUUCGGCUAUCACUUUUAGAUGGUCCCGCGGCGUAUUAGCUAGAUGGUGGGGUAACGGCUCACCAUGGCAAUGAUACGUAGCCGACCUGAGAGGGUAAUCGGCCACAUUGGGACUGAGACACGGCCCAAACUCCUACGGGAGGCAGCAGUAGGGAAUCUUCCACAAUGGACGAAAGUCUGAUGGAGCAACGCCGCGUGAGUGAAGAAGGGUUUCGGCUCGUAAAACUCUGUUGUUAAAGAAGAACAUAUCUGAGAGUAACUGUUCAGGUAUUGACGGUAUUUAACCAGAAAGCCACGGCUAACUACGUGCCAGCAGCCGCGGUAAUACGUAGGUGGCAAGCGUUGUCCGGAUUUAUUGGGCGUAAAGCGAGCGCAGGCGGUUUUUUAAGUCUGAUGUGAAAGCCUUCGGCUCAACCGAAGAAGUGCAUCGGAAACUGGGAAACUUGAGUGCAGAAGAGGACAGUGGAACUCCAUGUGUAGCGGUGAAAUGCGUAGAUAUAUGGAAGAACACCAGUGGCGAAGGCGGCUGUCUGGUCUGUAACUGACGCUGAGGCUCGAAAGUAUGGGUAGCAAACGGGAUUAGAUACCCUGGUAGUCCAUACCGUAAACGAUGAAUGCUAAGUGUUGGAGGGUUUCCGCCCUUCAGUGCUGCAGCUAACGCAUUAAGCAUUCCGCCUGGGGAGUACGGCCGCAAGGCUGAAACUCAAAGGAAUUGACGGGGGCCCGCACAAGCGGUGGAGCAUGUGGUUUAAUUCGAAGCUACGCGAAGAACCUUACCAGGUCUUGACAUACUAUGCAAAUCUAAGAGAUUAGACGUUCCCUUCGGGGACAUGGAUACAGGUGGUGCAUGGUUGUCGUCAGCUCGUGUCGUGAGAUGUUGGGUUAAGUCCCGCAACGAGCGCAACCCUUAUUAUCAGUUGCCAGCAUUAAGUUGGGCACUCUGGUGAGACUGCCGGUGACAAACCGGAGGAAGGUGGGGAUGACGUCAAAUCAUCAUGCCCCUUAUGACCUGGGCUACACACGUGCUACAAUGGAUGGUACAACGAGUUGCGAACUCGCGAGAGUAAGCUAAUCUCUUAAAGCCAUUCUCAGUUCGGAUUGUAGGCUGCAACUCGCCUACAUGAAGUCGGAAUCGCUAGUAAUCGCGGAUCAGCAUGCCGCGGUGAAUACGUUCCCGGGCCUUGUACACACCGCCCGUCACACCAUGAGAGUUUGUAACACCCAAAGUCGGUGGGGUAACCUUUUAGGAACCAGCCGCCUAAGGUGGGACAGAUGAUUAGGGUG
rnacentral:rRNA from 2 species